CCAACGUGGAUAUCCGGAGAAGUCGCUCUCUCUCGGCUCUGUCCGUGUGGCGUACGGGAGCGUAGGCCCUCGGGCCUGUGACGUACAGUCCCUUUCCACGACGUUGGAGAACAAGCCGGGCCACGAGCCUGCAGCCUGCAUAUUCCUACUGCUUCUCUGAGCCCUCGGGCCGUGACAGAGGAGACAAACCAUGCAGGAAACAAAC
rnacentral:snoRNA from 1 species